UUGUAUAUAUUAUGUAUUUAUGAGUAUUAUCAUAUCCGAAAGAAAACAAGUCAGGAAGAGCUCAAUUCAGGUGAACUUGGUGUGAAAUGUCACCCGGAAGUUCGAAAAUCUUUAUGACUAUUAGGGGCUAAGGGAGGUAUUGACCCGAUUUAACCCAUUUUUUAUACGCAAAGAUACUUUUAUCAGAAAACGAUUAUCUCUGAAUUUCAAAUAUACAUACAUACAUAUAUCCCAUACAUUGACCGAUAUUUUCGGCUAAAAGUCAGCUAUAGAUACUAGGGUCCACAUAUGUAUUUACUACCUAGGAGCUUGAACAGUUUUGUUUGAAUUUAGACAAUUUUUGGUCAUAAGGUGGCUUACCUCAAAGGAAUUAUUAGUGAAAAAUUUUAUCCCUUUAUAUUAAUAGCUUGUUGUUGAUCAAUAAAGAGUAUACAAAUAUCUUUAUAAUAGAAUUGAAGAAUUGCUGUUUGAUUUAAUAGGUACACCCUAACCCUUUAGAAAAAAAUUAUAAUUUAUAUAUUUAAGUGUUUCAGUAAUUCUUUAUAAUAUAAAAUUCAUCUUAAUUCACAAAUUCCUUAUAUUUCUGUUUUCCAGAAUUCCAGAAAUGUGACCUUGAUCUCUCAAAUGGAACAAAAUCUAAUGCAGCUCACAAAAUAAUUAAAAAAAGGGUCUUUCAAUAAAACUCGUUAUGUUUACUCGCUUGAGUUGAAGAAAUGUCAGUAUUCAAAGAAUAUAACCUUUUACUGACCGAUCGACUUCAGUUAAAAAUCAAUAAGUGAAAAAAUAGCCAGCAGGAGUUCAACAGCUCCAAGCAUCGAUAAAAAGUUUGUAGUAACCGCUAGUGGCGAGGAAAGGAAAAAAAAAGAUAAUAUAGGCCAGCUAACUGUCCUUUCAACUACGCCGUAAUCGACCCUGGUCGUUCGGGAGGCAGUGUGUCAGCGGAGCAGCAAACUUUGUUCGAGUCGGUGUUCAACGAUGGUCUGAUGGCCCUAAUCUCGUCAUCGACCUCGGACAUAUCUGUCUUCAAGAUAGAUAAUGCACGCUUCGCAAAAGGCAUUUUUUUGACUAGCCAUUGAGAGAAUGUGGACGCCAUCCGUUCCAUGGUGAAGGGUUUUCCUGAAAUGUAGGAGAAAAUGUCGCGGGGUAUAGGUAGCGUGCAUCUCCGCCUCAAAAAUCACCAAAUCGCCGAUAACAAUGAAAAUACGUUCUAGGAUAGCGAGAUGGAAGAGGAUCAGGAAGAGAUCCUAUAAGCCACCUUGAAGUUCCAAGACGCAAGUAAGGGUGAGCCGGUGACUCAACCCGACACCGAAAAUAAACCCGAAUUCAACCGUGAUGGUUCUUCAGACAAACCUGACUAAUAGCAAGGUAGCCUCUGACUUUAAUUCUGGAACCAUGGAUAAUCUCGGGAAAUAUGGUAUCUAGACUAAAGUCGCCAACAUACUAGUCGAACUUUCCGAGUGCAACAAACAAGAUGACCUAACUGUGGUAGCCGUAAAAGAUGGCAAGGAUAAGACACACUCCCUGAAUGCAGUUACAAGACCCAUGGUUAUGAAAUACCACUAUUCCAGUAGAACUCCGAAGGUUGCUUGAUGCGGCUGAUAAGACGAAAGAACUCCGUUGAUAGGCACGGACGCCGAUGAGCAUAAAGUCAAACAUAGAUGCGGAGAUUCUCAUACUCGGUAUCUUAGAAUUUGAAAAAGCACCAUUUGGAAUUCAGUUCGUCUCGUCAAUCUAAUCAUAUUGAUAUACAAA